AUAUGUGUGCUUAUGGCGCUCACGUCAGCUACGUAAUCAUAAAAAAUAAGAUCUGAUAAGAAAAACAAUGUAUUUGUGAAAAAAAUGUUGUCGGAAAAAUUUCAUAUUACAUGCGGUACAACAUAGCACAGCGUAUUGAAAGAUCUCAUAUUUAUUUCUGUAAAUUGAGGUGUGUGACGUUGCCAAAAUGGCACUAGAAGACGACGAGAACACUUGGGUCUUGGAACUUGAAGCAGCACUCCUUGACUCGGAAGCACCAUCAGCAAGUGAUAUUUAUGCCAUAUGUAAGGGUCAACCAGUACCUGCAAACUUAAGACCUGAUGUAUGGCAAGCUUGUUUGGAUGUCACGGAUAGAGGAAAUCAACUAAUCCAUUUUAACGAGGUUUUUGAUCUUCCAGAACAAAAUAUUCUCAGAGAAGAUUGCCAACAGUUGGUUGCUAAACUUGGCAAUGAUGAUGAGGACAAAGUAUCAGUUGUUUCUGACUUAGAGUCAAUACUGACAUUCUACUGCAAAAGUAGAGGUAAGUUGUACGAAAGAGGAAAUGGCUGGCUUGAAUUGUUGGGGCCCUUGAUUGCUCUCAAGUUACCUCGAUCUGCAACUUACAACUUGUUCGAAGCCAUCAGGGAUGUAUACGUCCCAAGGGGUGUUAUACAUAGUUCUGUUUUACGAUUGCUGUUACUGUAUCAUGAGCCAGAAUUAUGUUCCUUUUUGGACACAAAACGAGUGUCUCCGGAGCAAUACACAAAAGGAUGGAUAAAUACAUUGUUUGCAGGGGUGUGUUCACUCCCAGCCGUCUGCACGAUGUGGGAUUUAUACUUUAUGCAGGCGGAUCCGUUUUUUAUGAUGUUUUUAUCUCUUAUCAUGGUUGUCAAUGCAAGGGAACAAAUUUUAAGCAUGAAGGAUGAAGGGAAACAAAGUAUAAUAGACACGCUAGCAGCAAUGCCCUGUGCCUUAGAAGCUGAAGAUGUUACAGAUUUCUGCUCACUGGCUCAAUACUACGCUAUGAAAACGCCAUCUUCUUUCAAACAAGAUUUAUAUUCCAUUAUGUUUGGCGAAGGUGGUGAUGAGAAAUUCAUAUCACAUGCGUUAUGUCUACCUGUAUCGGCCCAGGAGCUUGUAGAAAAUACUAUCGAAGCGCCAGCCGCAUCGAAUGGACCAGUUGAGUCCGUCAGAUUUUUCCUAGUGGAUUGCAGACCUGCUGAGCAAUAUAAUGCUGGACAUCUGCCAACCGCCUUUCAUUUGGACUGUAACUUGAUGCUACAAGAACCUGCAUCCUUUGCAACGGCUGUACAAGGAUUGCUUCAGGCACAGAGACAAGCUUUGGCUGUUGGUUCAGAAGCUGGAGGCGAACAUCUCUGUUUUCUAGGGAGUGGUCGCCAAGAGGAGGACCGCUACACUCAUAUGGUGGUUGCAUCUUUCUUGCAAAAGCACACGCAAUACGUUAGUAUGGUCUCAUUAGGAUAUCAAGCUAUUCACGAAUAUUUUGGAGACGAAGUGGUCACAAAUCUCGUAGAUCACAAUUCGCAACAUUGUUUGGUAUGCAAUGCCAAUUUAUCGGAAACGAAUUCCAAUGAAUCGAGCCCAGCUAAAAUUAGAAAUAACAAUUCAGAUCUGUUUGGGAAAAUUGGGUUGGCGAUGAAAUUGAAGAGCCAAGUAGUGAAGGGAAAGCUGUUCGAUUACAUCGUUAACCCAUCUGCAAGUGCCAAUGGCAAUGCAGAUAGCCAGAACAGCAAAGAUGCGGACUUUGCAAAUAGAAUACGUAACGGUCCAGUUUUCAGUAUUGACGAGGAUCAUGAUCUAGAUAUGGCGAUGACCAAUCACGAGAGUGAAGAACCUGUCGAAGUAGUAUCUAUUCAGCAAUGGCUGAAAGAUCCGAAAUUAUUGCAUUCCUUCAAAUGUCAAGAAGUCAAAGUCAGCGGCUAUGUGUAUGAAAGUCAACUUUUGGUGAUGGACACCCACCUCAUUGUUCUCAGAGAGAUUCCAGGAAGGAAGGGUGCCGCACAUGUGAUUGUUAAGCGGCCAUUGUCAAGUAUAGUUAAAAUAACUUCUAGGAAAAGACAUCCUGACUUAAUCACAUUUCGGUAUGGUACCACACAGAAUGAAACGUUACUUAUCUCAGAUAUGGAUAAAUUUCUUAUUCCACAUGCUAGCGAGGCUACGAAAUUGAUUUCAGAACAAAUAUUGAAACAAUUGAAGACACUUGACUAAUAUUAGGCGGCAUAGACUGCAGUGUACUGUAUAAUAAGGACCGGUUAUCAAUUUGGUAAAUUCUACCGUAUUGUUAUUAUUAUUAGAAUUUUUUACCGCGUAGAACCUUAGUUAUCAUGAUGCCUCACGAUUUAUACAAAAAAUGUUGCCAUGCAAUCGUUAAUGAAGGUUCUCUGGAACUACAGUUCAUGUGUUUACUAAAAAAAUGUUCCUAACCGGCUGAAGCUUAAGGUUGUCAUAAUAGGGUAGUUCAUGGGCACAUGAAAAUCUAUUUCACCUUCAUAAUAAAAAUAAUUAAUAAUCCAAAUGCGAUCACAACCAAUUUUGCAAGUUUUUCUAAUUCAGUCACACUUGCAAUUAAGGGUGAUGAAAUUUUGAUGUUGAAUAAUUUGGAAAUAUUUGUACCGUACAAAACAAUGUAGCAAUAUGAUGCUAUUCUUUUAUUGAAUAUCACAUCGAGUCUUUAUUAUACAUUUACGCAAAAUACAUAGCAGUAUGUAAAUCAAUCUUACCACGUCUCUUAUCCAGAACUUAAACGAGUAACGAUUCGAGGGAGGGAAGAUGUAAUAUUUGUUCAUUUCCUUUGAUAUCAUAUGAUUGUUUCAAAUGUGAAAUUAUGUUUCUUCAUUUUUUCAACUUUAACAUAAUGCGUAAUACUAUAUUAACUUAUUCAUGUUAUGUUUCAAACGUCAUAAUGGCGGUAAUUUAAAAGAAAUCCAAAUAAAUCGUCAUCAGUUGAAUUAUUGAAUUUGCUAACGAACAUUUAUAAAUACUGUAUCAUAUUAUUUUCAAAAUUCAUCGAAUCGUGAAGAUUGUUCAACUGUUAUCAACUAUUGUACCUAAUGUUGGAGAAAAUGACGUCUCUGCUUUUACUUAUUGUCAAUUGAUAAGAUUAUCCUUCAAACAUUUUGUUGUGAUUUAGUGGUUGUCUUGUAAAGGAUAAAUUCAGUCAAACUUAUUAAGGUCUGUCUGACAUUCAUCAAUAUUGCAGAGCGUAACAGGUUUAAAAUAAACACCACAUGAUCAUGAUGUUGGUAAAAAUUUGUCGUUUCAGGCCAAUAUUGACAUAAUUAUAAAUCUCUUGACGGAAGUACCACUCAAUCUGGUGAAUAUUAGUUUGAAUGUUGUCAACGACAAUCACGUAAACACUUUUCAACUGAUUAAUGCUUAUCAGUUCAUCUUCAUCGUGACGUUGACUGAAAAUAUUCUUCAGCCAAAGAUCAUGAUCAUUUUUGUUCUCGAUCAUAAGUUACCAUUGGCAAAUUUUUUGUGUACGCAGAAAUCUUAUCGAGUGCAAUCAGAAAAUAUUGUAAUAUAAAGUCCAGUUGCUAGAAUUUGUGACGUAAUUUGAGGCGAUCAACCGGUUUAUUUCACUUUCUUUAAAUUUUAUCUGACAAAGUUUCAUGUGAUGAAAUUUGAAUGAAAAGUCUUUCAAGUCUUGACUACUGGCAAGAAAAUAAAACUUAUGAGUUAUAGACAUGUUUGGAAAGAUUAAAUAGCAUCGUAUCAAGUAUAGGAUACCGAUAUACCAUGAAGGUUUUAGGUGUAAUAAAAUCAAUAAGCUCGUUAUUGUCACUAACUAUGUACAUAAUUAAAAUAGAUGUAAUAUAAAAGAGAAUAAUAGUAAUAUAAAAAUCACUUUCCAGUGUUCAUGCCAUUCGUUAUGCUAUUUCCCUGCUCUCAAUUACAUUUUUCAAAAUACUGCCUCAUUCUAUUCUGAAACAAACUUGUGUUUUCAGGCGCAUGGCACAAAACUUUUUAAUGUGUCUUUUGAUUGCAGAUUUAUCGCAUCGAGCAAGAUUGUUUAUUAUUAUAAAAUACUUGAGUACGUGUUCAAUACUGAUAGCUUAUCACUUGACAGAUUAUUACAGCAGUACUGCCUCCACAUUCUAACUGUUCAAGCAUUAAUUGAUAACAUACUAAUAUUUACCGGAGCUAAGAGCAAAUUAGCAAAGAACGUUUGAACAUAAAGCUGUGAUACUUUGUCCAAAUGAGAAAAGUACUUUUUGGAUUGUUUUUGUAUUUAUUCGACAAUUUAAGAGCGAUUCUUUAUGAAGAUGUACCCAAAGAUGUACGGCCGUUACACAUGUAAUUCAGAAGAAUAACUUUGUUCAACGCCAUUAUUUAUUGGGAGUUCAAGAAACAUCAAAUCACGAUAUUUAUACAGUCAUACAGGCCUAUGGAAAAGUGUUGACAGUUUUUACCCAUCCAGGAAGACAAAGUUUUUCGAUAGUUUUGGAGUGGUGCUGGGAGGAAAUAAAAAUGUGAGAGGGAGUCUGAAGUGCGGUUUCAAAAUAGUUGAACCAUUGCAUUGGAUUUUGAAUCAGUUGACAAGACACCGCGCUAGCAGACGAUUUGUCGCGAAAGUUUGUUAUUGCAGAAAUCGGCAUUGCCGCGAAAAUUGAAAAUUUGACGUUUCACGACUUGCGCCGAAGCAG
rnacentral:misc_RNA from 1 species